rnacentral:rRNA from 1 species
GAUGAACGCUGGCGGCGUGCCUAAUACAUGCAAGUCGAGCGAACGGACGAGAAGCUUGCUUCUCUGAUGUUAGCGGCGGACGGGUGAGUAACACGUGGAUAACCUACCUAUAAGACUGGGAUAACUUCGGGAAACCGUAGCUAAUACCGGAUAAUAUUUUGAACCGCAUGGUUCAAAAGUGAAAGACGGUCUUGCUGUCACUUAUAGAUGGAUCCGCGCUGCAUUAGCUAGUUGGUAAGGUAACGGCUUACCAAGGCAACGAUGCAUAGCCGACCUGAGAGGGUGAUCGGCCACACUGGAACUGAGACACGGUCCAGACUCCUACGGGAGGCAGCAGUAGGGAAUCUUCCGCAAUGGGCGAAAGCCUGACGGAGCAACGCCGCGUGAGUGAGGAAGGUCUUCGGAUCGUAAAACUCUGUUAUUAGGGAAGAACAUAUGUGUAAGUAACUGUGCACAUCUUGACGGUACCUAAUCAGAAAGCCACGGCUAACUACGUG